GGGCUCGUAGUCUAGCUGGUUAUGACGUCGCCUUGACGAUGAAACAAAUCAAAGAUUUGCGAAUUUUUGAGGUUGCACAUCAAAAUGGCGGAGAUCCCCGGUUCGAAUCCGGGCGGGCCCA
rnacentral:tRNA from 1 species